CUAAUCAAACGUGGAAAAUAGACUAACUACCACUAAUAAAUUUAAUUUGAUCUAAACCGAUUUCUGAUUUUUAUAGUUCAUUUAUAUUUAGUCAUAGCUAAAUAGUCAUAGUUUCUUCCCGGAACUAAAGUAUGUAGGGUUUGUUUUUGGUGGGACACUCAUUAGUGGCGCACGCUACCAUAUGGAAAAGUUUUGUUAGAAACAUCUGUGAUUCUUAUAUGUUCCAACAGAAUAUUAUAAGGGACAUAUAUGCUGCAAAAAACGCAUAUACAAAUUGCAUAAUAUUUGUGUAUUUUCAAUCCAUAUGUCAUAUAUGUCCCACAUAUAACUAAAGUCUUAUAGAUUUUCAUGAUGUAAAAACAUAGGAAAAUAAUGCAAAUUUAAUAGGCCUAUGAAUGUCCACCAUAUCUCUUAAGAUGUGUAUAAAACAUAGUGCAUCAGUAUAAGACUGGCAAGUAAGAAGUUUACACACGCACUCACACACACAAAUGAACUGGUGUGGCUGUAACAAUUAUGGUAACACUGAGCCAAAAGACUCAAAUAAGAGGUUGAAACCAGAUCUGAUUCUGACCCAGAUUGAUUGACGUAACCCGGGUAACCCAGCCCAGUAAAGAGAAAAAAAAAGUUAAGAAAAGGAAAAAAAAAUAAAAUCUAGAAGAAAGAGAUUCAUCCAAUCACUGAUCGAGCUGCAGUGAGAGACACCCCUAAGAGCCAAUAAUAGCGGCGCAUUCAUAAGUCCCGCCCACUGGUCGCGCCGGCGCUGCUUUCAGCGUGAGCAUAUGAGAGAGAGUCAGAGCAGAUCAGCACAGACCGUUUCUCCUGAAAAUCCAUUCAUCUAACUGGAAAUGUGAUUGAGUGCGCUGAAAGUGGAGCCUUUGAAGUCGAUGCAUCAGCCUGAAGUGAUGUCGUCAGAGAGAGAGAGAAGAGAGAGACGGAGCGGAUCCCAGAGUGCUGAAGCACUACCCAAAGGAAAAGGACAGUGAUUCCCAAACCACAGAGAAAUGUUGCCCGAAAGACUGUUGAUGAGUAUCAAGCACAAGCCCUUGACAGAGACUCAGAAGAGGCUGAAAAAAAUGGAGGAAAAUGAAAAAUUGAGAAAUGACAACAAAAAAAGCUACCAAAUCUGAUAAAUGAAGUGAAGAUGGCCCUGAGGUCUCAGUUUUCCUCAGCAUCAGUCAGCUCUGACUUGGAAGAUGGGACAGGAUUUGCCACAGAGUAAUUACAGAGCCCUUCCAACAGAACAGGAGCAACGUUGCACAAAGUGUCUUCAUAUUGUGCCCGCCAGCAUUGGUGCAACCAUCAAUGCCAAACUUACUGAAGUUAGGGGGAAGAAAACACAAAAACAUCUGAAAACCUUUAAUGGUCUUUGAUGAUUGAUAGCCAUGACAGUGUGUUCGAGGUAUUUUGUUGUUUGGGUGUGUGUGUGUUUUGCUUUCGCAAAGUUCAGUUUGAUAUCAAGUUGUAAUUCUAAAUUACUCUUGUGGAGUAUAAUUUGAUUGUGUCUCUUUGAUUGUGUUGAAAUAAAAGUAUUUCUGAUGCAAAUUUGUGCAAGUAAUUGACUGAAAUCAUAUAUGAUUUGUAUGUGCAGAGAUAUUGUAAUAUUGACUGAAAUCAUAUAAGAUAAUUAUAUGUAGAGAUAUAAUAAUGUUGUAAUAUGAGGAAUUAGAUGGAAACAUAAAGCUUGAAGAACAGGCACACAAUUUCCCUAUUAAAAACAUAUAAAAUCUGUAUAAAAUUCAUAUGAACAAAUGAUGCAAAAUUUAAAUAAAUCCUAUAUGACUUGCA